ensembl:snoRNA SNORD70B small nucleolar RNA SNORD70
AGAGUUGUUGUCUGUGAUGCAUUUGUGUGUCUGAAUGAAUCGUGAUGUAAUUCAUCACUUCGUCACUACCACUGAGAUGACAACCGA